rnacentral:lncRNA from 1 species
GCUCCGUCUCGACUUUAGAUCUGUAACCCUUCACGAGCGUCGCGUGCUCCUCGUUCUUCCUGCUCUCUUCCUUCUGCUCGAUCGACGACACGAUCCUCCACGCGGCGCGUAGAGAUCCGAUCACGUUCUUGUAGGCUACCGAGAGGAGGUUUCUUUCCUCCACGGUGAGCUCUGACGAUGGAGUGGCGCCGCCUGUGACGAGCUGCUCCAUGAAUUGGACCAUUUCUUCGUAGCGCUCGGCUUGCUCGGCGAGCUUCGCCAUGUAGACGUACUGGUCUCUGCCUAGUGUCGCCGCCGCCAUUGGAGAGAGAGAGAGAAUGUGAAGAGAGGUUUUAAUUUUCUUCAUUCUUACGAAGUAAUGAAAAAUCUAAUCAUAAUUUCAUCCUCCUUUUAAAAUGUUAUUAUAAAUUUACAACUUUUAUCCAAGUGGUUUUACAAAUCAUCAUAUUCUCCUUCAUGUCCGUUCAAACUUGUCUAUAAUAUGUUUAGAUUUAUCAAAAUUUAUCAUCAAAUCUCAGGCUGUGUGGCCGCCAGAGAGGCUCAUGUAUAGACAUUUGGGUAUUGAUAGAAGUUAUCUUAGAUGUACUGGUCUAGUGGAAUCGAUUAAUCAUCUUCUUUUUAAAUGUCCGUCAACUCUUCGGAUUUGGAUUUUAUCGGACUAUUCGUCUUUUCCGGAUUACUUCCCUAGUACAUCUAUAUAUCAAAAGAUGAACUUCCUGUUUUGGAAUAUAUGCUCCAAAUAUGUAUUUAUUUUACAACUGUAUACAAAUUAUACAAUCUUCAGUGUCUUGCCUCUGAAUUUGAGAUCUACCAUUUGUUAACGCGCACGCUUGCUUUUUGUGCCAAUUUUGAGAAAAACGACGAAACAAUUGCAUGAAAUAAACCAUAUACGUGAACGAAAGUAAUAAAAUUGCAUUACCUCUUUGUCCCAGUCACAUCUCGUAACAAUAAAAAUCAAUAUCAAUGUCUGAAUCGCAGUUCCUCCGAAUAUCAUACCAGCCCAAAUGCCCUAUAACAUAAAAUCACAAUAUAUUAUAUAUAGAGAUAAAUCAGCCUUCAAAUCUUGAGUUUAUUAAAAAAUCUGGCGUUUACCUUGACACCAAACUUGAAAAUCCAUCCCAUGACAAAUCCAAGUGGAAGACCCGAUGAAAUAAUAGCAUACCAAAUUUAUAUAUGCCACGAAUGAUUGCCAACCCGAACCAAUCGCAACACCUAAUCAAAAAUCAAAAAUCACUUCGGUUUAUUAUGGAAUGACAAAUAAAUUAAUUUUGUUUCGUAGCGUACCAGAAAGAACCGGUUGGACACUGUUAAGAAGAAUAGUAAAGGCUAAAAGGAUAGAGAGAGAUCAGUGACUGCCUUUAUGACGGUUUCACUUGAAGAGAAGAUCCAACCGAUUUGAUCAUGAAGAAAUACUACAAGAACCGAAAAUAUUAAACCAGUAAUCAACGAUUCUAUCACUGAUAUGAUCAUUGCAAAUCUUGCUCUUCUUCCAUUGCCUGCUCCUAAUUCAUUAGCUCCGGAAGUGGCGUAAGUAAAUAAGAUGAAGGCAUUGAGACACCAAGACACGUUAACAGUAGCCAUGGUCCCUACGACUCCGAGUCUAAGACGAUAUACAAAAAGCCAGCACACAAAUAAGUGAACUACAAGUGCCACUCCAGAAGAAACGACAACCACCUGAUUGAUAGUAGCGUUAGUCAGAGAAAUAUCAAAUAGUUUACCAAACACUAGUAUAUAAUAUCAAAAUCAUAUUAAGUCAUUAUAUUUUGGAGCAAAUUAUUAUUACUAAAACAAGCAAUCAAAUAAUGAUGGGUAAUUCUCUCAAAUAAAUAUUUUUAAAAUUUUAUCGUAAAAAUAAUCCUCAAAAAAUAAAAUGACCAAAAUAGUUAAAAAGAAAAAAAAUUUGAACUCAUCCACAAAACCCAACUCUUUAACUUUAAACACUAAGUCUUAGAUUAGUUAACCCUAAAAGCAUUCCUAUUAGUGUAACCUGUUUGGCCAUGUUACAAGCUUUGUCUGAAGAAUUAAGAAUCUCAUAGUAAAACACCGAGAAAUUCAAAGCAAGACCAAGCCUUAUUGGAUGAGUAGGCGCCAUAUCAGCAGCCGCAAUAUCCUUCAGACAAAACAUUCACAUCAAAACCAGACACACAUAAGUCAAACAUCAGUUUGGUAAUAACAAACAAACAAACAAAAGAAUCAAACUUUUUUUCACCUGAGCUGCCUUAUAAGCACCCAUAGUAUCCUCAGCAGCAGCUUUCCUCUCCUCCCCAGACUUAAACUCCGCCAUGUACCGAUGAUAAUCCCCCUUCAUCUUCAAAUAAAACACCUUCGACUCGCUCGCCGCCGCGGAGGGAAUCAGAUGCGAAUCAAGAAGCUUUAGUAUCCCUUCGCAGACGGAGGAAAGCUCCGUCUCGACUUUAGAUCUGUAACCCUUCACGAGCGUCGCGUGCUCCUCGUUCUUCCUGCUCUCUUCCUUCUGCUCGAUCGACGACACGAUCCUCCACGCGGCGCGUAGAGAUCCGAUCACGUUCUUGUAGGCUACCGAGAGGAGGUUUCUUUCCUCCACGGUGAGCUCUGACGAUGGAGUGGCGCCGCCUGUGACGAGCUGCUCCAUGAAUUGGACCAUUUCUUCGUAGCGCUCGGCUUGCUCGGCGAGCUUCGCCAUGUAGACGUACUGGUCUCUGCCUAGUGUCGCCGCCGCCAUUGGAGAGAGA